AGACAGUUGCUCCUCUUACUGUUUUGAGCAAAUACCCGGGUACCUUUAUAGAUUUUUAUUUGUCUGAUAGCAAAAUUCUAUCAAGACCAUAAUUGAAGAGCAUGUCUUUCUGAGACUUCCAAACCAAGGUUUUAUGGUCAAUCCAAAGAUGACUCACAGGGUUUAGAAAUGUGUUUUAAAGUGUCCCUACAAUGUACUGAAACCCCGCAUGUUCAAUAGUCAUAGUUAUUCAAUAGUUAUUAAGCUACAUAACUCUGGAUCCUGGGGAAAGCCAGAAUGACAAGUUCAAGUAGUGUGGCAACUGCUUCAAGGAGCUGAAUAUGGAAUUAUUAGUCCACUGGGCAUCUUAACUGGUUUUGCUGGGGUGUGCUCAAUAUAUUUCAAGCUUCGUUUUAAUUAUUUCAAAGUUCAGGACCUACAAGCUGUCCUGAAAUAAAAACAUUCUCAUAGGUUACCUUGAGUAUCCUCUCAUCUCUCUGGCCACAUUUGGCACCGUAAGAAGCAGUAAGGAUGCAUCUGGCUGCCUCUCUGGGAAGAUGGAUAACUGGCAGACUCAACCAGAGAUGCUGUGACUUCCCAUCCUAAGAGCUACUAACCUACCAUUUACCUUUUGUGCAGUCUUCUGACCUUUAGCUCUGUCCCCCAAACUGGCAUUUCAACUCUUUCUGGGCCUUCAUUUGAUCAUCCUAUCCUCCUGAAGGCAGCACGAGCUGUGUUGAGCCCAGGUUAUAGAUGAAAAAUCUGAGGUCCAGUGCUGUUAAGCAACUCUCCAAAAUGUCACCAGUCUGUAGGUGAGGACCCAAGACUCCAGAUCCUACUUGAAUCAGCCUCCCUGAUCAACCUCUUAGAGCUUUGUGUUCAAACCUUCACCAUGGCUACACUACAAAAUUAAUUUCAUUGUUGCCCUGAACACUGCAUUGCUAAUUUUUCACAUCUUUAAGCUUGGAAGGCAUUUCCAAAAUAAAAGCCCCUUUCCAAGCUUCCCUUAGCACUUACUCUCUGCUCUGUUUUUCACAAGGCGCUGAGGCUUUCUGAAUUUGUCUUGUUGAAACAGAUAAGCAAAGCCCCCUUGCUUUUCUCACCUAAGGUAUGAAGAGAUGCAGGAAGGCUUUAUGUGGUCCUUGUUUGUAAAGCACUACUUACCUAGCAAAAUGAGACUGGAGAAAAUAGUGACACCAUUUUCCUGAAAAGUCAGAUCCUACUUGACUUGUUAACAACAAGAAACCUGAACUCAAAUGUCAUCAUCAGCUAGAAAAGUCUUUGCUGGUAUUAAAAAAAAAAAAAAAAAAAAAGUGGUUUCUAGGAGUCUUCAGACAGCUAAAGAUCUUUGCACAUGAAAGAAGGCUAUUUAGGAGCUAGAAUUACGGGUAAGGAGGAGCAGUGGAUAAAUGUGGUCAUUACACAGAGCUCUCAAGGAAGUAAAUGGAUUGUUCCAGCCAUAUUGUACUGAAGUCACACUCUGCUCACUGUACACAGCUGUUGGGAGGUGGGAGAACACACAACAGGACAGGUCAACUGGCAAGGGGCUGACAGGGGAGGAACUCGAUCACAUGAGCAAACUCAUGUUAAGAUUUAGGACCAGCUUCUUAUGAAAGGGAAGCCCGCAGGAGGAGGGCCUGACUUGGUGGUGCUCUGUAUAGGAGAUGGGAGUUGCAGACCGAUUGGUGGUAUUCUUUCUGCAGUGGGUCAAUGUGUGUGAGCAUAUGACAUACAGCGAGUUAGGAUACUCUGAUGAAUAGAUGGCUUUCAGAUUUGCAAGACUUCAGAACAAAGAACAUUACUCUCUGGGACUGGCCUUCUAACUUAUGGGUAUCAAUACAUACCCAAAGGACAGGAAGAAGGGACUGUCUUGAGUUCCUGUUAGUCAUCAACAAGCUUGCUGUAUGAAAGAAAACACACUACACCUGGUUAUUAUGUUAGCUAGAGCAAGAUAUGGGGGUUAAAUGUGGAGUACUUAUGAUAUCUAGUCUCAAUGCUCUUCUUUGGUCUACCCAUUUAAGCUCUAGAAUGCCAAAGUUCACUAUAGGCAGCUUUCUCUAAGAAUUUAACUUUUCUUGGUAAGACAGUCCCCACUAAAUAUGAGUGCCUAAAGCCAUACCGUGAGAUGCUUGUUGUGGUGAGAACUUCUGUCCACUACCCUCUAUGGAUGCAAGUCUUGCCAUGGUUAGAACCACGGAACUCGCCAAAUCAAUG
rnacentral:lncRNA from 1 species